rnacentral:rRNA from 1 species
UAGACUUAAUGGGGGCAACCCUGAUGGAGCAACGCCGCGUGAAGGAUGAAGGCCCUCGGGUCGUAAACUUCUUUUAUGAGUGAAGAAUAUGACGGUAACUCAUGAAUAAGCACCGGCUAACUACGUGCCAGCAGCCGCGGUCAUACGUAGGGUGCAAGCAUUAUCCGGAGUGACUGGGCGUAAAGAGUUGCGUAGGCGGUUAGUAAAGUGAAUAGUGAAACCUGGUGGCUCAACCAUACAGACUAUUAUUCAAACUCACUAACUCGAGAAUGGUAGAGGUAACUGGAAUUUCUUGUGUAGGAGUGAAAUCCGUAGAUAUAAGAAGGAACACCAAUGGCGUAGGCAGGUUACUGGACCAUUUCUGACGCUAAGGCACGAAAGCGUGGGGAGCGAACAGGAUUAGAUACCCU